rnacentral:lncRNA from 1 species
CCAAAUUGAUCCUGUCAAUAUCAUACCACCUCACUUGUUGUUAAACACCAACCAAGCAAGCACUUAAAGUCAAUAAUACCAUUUUUAAAAAAAGUAGGUGAGACCUAUUUGAAUACUUACAGAAGCCACAAACAAAGUGGAGGUGGAUUUAUCAAAGACAAUGAAAGCAAAGCUCCCAAUUAGAUGGCCAACCACAUGGUUUGGAGGAUAAGGUGCUCGGUCACGAAGGGCCUUGUAAGCUUCAAUGACCAAUAUCACUUCAUUUGCUGA